GGUGCUGUAGGCAAAUUGGUAAAGCCACCUGCCUUUCACGCAGGAGAUUGCGAGUUCAAUCCUCGUCAGCACUU
rnacentral:tRNA from 1 species